rnacentral:rRNA from 1 species
AUUGAACGCUGGCGGCAGGCCUAACACAUGCAAGUCGAGCGCGAAAGUUCUUCGGAAUGAGUAAAGCGGCGGACGGGUGAGUAAUACAUGGGAAUCUGCCUGGUAGUGGGGGACAACGUUUCGAAAGGAACGCCAAUACCGCAUACGCCCUACGGGGGAAAGGGGGGGAUCUUCGGACCUCUCGCUAUCGGAUGCGCCUA